AUUAAACGCUGGCGGCAUGCCUUACACAUGCAAGUCGAACGGUAGCGCGGGGCAACCUGGCGACGAGUGGCGAACGGGUGAGUAAUGCAUCGGAACGUGCCCUGGAAUGGGGGAGUAACGUAGCGAAAGUUACGCUAAUACCGCAUAUUCUGUGAGCAGGAAAGCAGGGGAGUCGCAAGACCUUGCGUUCUGGGAGCGGCCGAUGUCGGAUUAGCUAGUUGGUGGGGUAAAGGCCUACCAAGGCGACGAUCCGUAGCGGGUCUGAGAGGAUGAUCCGCCACACUGGGACUGAGACACGGCCCAGACUCCUACGGGAGGCAGCAGUGGGGAAUUUUGGACAAUGGGGGCGAACCCUGAUCCAGCCAUGCCGCGUGAGUGAAGAAGG
rnacentral:rRNA from 1 species